GGUAACCCGGGUAGGCCCCACUCCCGAACAUCCCCGUGCACGCCGUCACGGCCUCUAACGGCGCCGUCGCCGGCCCCUGAUAGUAUCCGUCGCCGUAGGGGUUCGUCACCGUCCCUGCCAGCAGCGUGGCCAAGUUGAUCACCAUCCCGUCCAUGCCGACGUCGCCGUUGGGCGCAACUAACGGCGGGGUCUGUGGGCCGUACAUGGGCUGGUGGAAGGGCCAGGCGCACUGGCCCGGGCACUGGACCUCCGAGUCGCCGACCCAGAGGUACGUGAACCGGACCCGGCCGCGGCGGCCGGCCGGGGCGGACCCAUGGGUCCCGCACCGGCUCAUGCAGAAUCCCUCGACGGCGACGUCGGAGGACGUCAAGACGGCGGUGACGGAGUCGCGAUGGUGGCCGGCGCGGGCGGCGAGGGUGACGAGGUCUGCGGAGGUGAGGGAUUUCCCAAGGGAAUAUUUCUCGUCGAGGAGUUGGAGGCCGAGGGAGAUGCGCGUGGCGGCGCCGCGGUACCGGGCGGUGGUGCUCCACCAGGAGGCGGUGGAGGGAGCCGCCGGAGAAACGGCAGAGAGGGAGCGGACAAAGUCGGCGAUGAUGGAGCGCUGGGAGGCAGAGAAGCGGCCGUACCAUAGAAGGUGGACGGUCAGGUUACCGGUGAGGAGGGGACCGUUGUGAUACUGGAGGACUAGGGGCUGCUGCUGGACCAGGCUAAGCUUCCUUGGGUCGGCCAUGGAGUAGGGGAAGAGGAGGAGAGAGAGGAGGAGGAGAGUGAUAGGAAGAGAGAAAGCUUCCGAUCUACCCAUGGGAAGAG
rnacentral:lncRNA from 1 species